AGAGCGAACGCUGGCGGCAGGCCUAACACAUGCAAGUCGAGCGGCCGUAGCAAUACGGCAGCGGCAGACGGGAGAGUAACACGUGGGAACGCGCCCUUCGGUUCGGAAUAACUCAGGGAAACUUGGGCUAAUACCGGAUACGCCCUUACGGGGAAAGAUUUAUUGCCGAAGGAACGGCCCGCGUCCGAUUAGCUUGUUGGUGAGGUAACGGCUCACCAAGGCGACGAUCGGUAGCUGGUCUGAGAGGAUGACCAGCCUCACUGGGACUGAGACACGGCCCAGACUCCUACGGGAGGCAGCAGUGGGGAAUAUUGGACAAUGGGCGCAAGCCUGAUCCAGCCAUGCCGCGUGGUGAUGAAGGCCCUAGGGUUGUAAAGGCCCUUUCGGCGGGAAGAUAAUGACGGUACCCGACAGAAGAAGCCCCGGCUAACUUCGUGCCAGCAGCCGC
rnacentral:rRNA from 1 species